rnacentral:lncRNA from 1 species
AUCUUUCCAACCUUGGCCUGCCCCUCAGGUUCACUAUCCAUGCUUCAUCCUCCAGGCAGGCAGCAGGUUCACAGUGAAGAAGGCAAUCUUCUUGGAGUCUUCCUGGAUGUUCUGUGGCUGAGCAAUGCUCCUUGAUGCUAGAAAGAAAAAGUGAUCUCUCUGGCUCUGUAUGUCUCUCUCUGUCUCUGUGUGUCUACGUGUCUCUCUCUCUUUAUCUGUGUCUCUGCCUCUCUCUGUGUGUCUCUCUCUGGUGAUGAAGUGGCUGCCACAAGUCAGUGAUUCCCUAAGAUCAUUCUUCUGACCCCUUGUGCUUGGAAAGCCCAAAGGUCAGGACAAUGAGGCCCCUUUUUUGACAGUCUGUACACAUAAAGAAUACAAAAUCAAGGGAGCUUUUCCACUUGAGCUAGACAGCACAUUUCUGCCUUGCCCAACUUGAGGGAGACAAUGUCUAAGCUGCUUUUAAGUUGGAGGGGGUCCAGUAAGACUCCUCCAAGCGCCCAAGACAGUCCAAAUCGAGGUGAUCUCAUUGGCCCCGUGUGACUUCCGACGAUUGCAGCCAAUAGCAAAGGGCAGCCAGACUCCACCCCUGACGCCAAGUCUAAUCGAUGUGAUCUCAUUGGCCACACAACAUGACUUCCGACAAUUGCAGCCAAUAGCAAAGGGCAUCCAGACUCUUGCCGCCAAAUGGCAGAGCUAAUCGAUGUGAUCCCAUUGGCCGCACAACUUCCGAAGAUUGCAGCCAGUAGUAAAGGCCAGCUGCCCUCUCCACCCUUUCCAAGUGGGAAAACCACACCCACAAGCCUCCUCCCCCAGCCCGCAGCCCCCAUCCCCGCCCCGGACCUUAAAAGGAUGAGUUCUUCUACUGAUGAGUCUGACUGACCCACCAGGAAGAUAUAAAAGGUUUCCUCAGCCUCAGUUUUCCUAGAUCAUGUGAAGCUCUUGGGCUGCUGGUUUGACUAUGGAGUCAGUUCCUCAUUCUCAGGAAGGAUUCUUCACAUUAAGAAGCACCAUGGACAAGAGUGUGCAGAACACAUGCCUCAGAGGGACUAGGGGAAUGAUUCAAUAUAACGAACAAACAUCCAGUCUACUUAAAGAAGAGAAAAAAGAAAAGGCAUUGCAGUCUAUCAGCCACUUCUCAAACUUUGACAUUCUAGAUUCUCUCCUGGCCAAAUUAAAUGAAGAAAAGAAUAAUCUGAGUCACAACCAGGGAAUUGAAUGCUUGGUUCCCUCAGAGAAUAAUCUGUUCUACCCAGAAACUUUGGGUUCUAUUAAUCUGACUAAGAAUCAAAGAAAGAAGUCAGAAGGAGAAGAGGAAAAGAGGCAUAACGAAGCAACAAAAAAGGUAAGUUGUAACUCACUAU